rnacentral:rRNA from 1 species
UACGUAGGGGGCUAGCGUUGUCCGGAAUCAUUGGGCGUAAAGAGCGUGUAGGCGGUCCGGUAAGUCCGCUGUGAAAAGUCGGGGGGCUCAACCCUCGAAUGCCGGUGGAUACUGUCGGGCUAGAGUGCGGAAGAGGCGAGUGGAAUUCCUGGUGUAGCGGUGAAAUGCGCAGAUAUCAGGAGGAACACCUAUUGCGAAGGCAGCUCGCUGGGACGUAACUGACGCUGAGACGCGAAAAGCGUGGGGGAGCAAACAGG